UACGUAGGUGGCAAGCGUUUGUCCGGAUUUAUUGGGUUUAAAGGGUGCGUAGGCGGUCUAUUAAGUCAGGGGUGAAAUCCCGGAGCUCAACUCCGGAACUGCCUUUGAUACUGGCGACCUUGAGGCUGGAAGAGGUUAGUGGAAUUCCCAGUGUAGAGGUGAAAUUCGUAGAUAUUGGGAAGAACACCAGUGGCGAAGGCGGCUAACUGGUCCAGAUCUGACGCUGAGGUGCGAAAGCGUGGGGAGCAAACAGG
rnacentral:rRNA from 1 species